UACGUAGGGGGCAAGCGUUGUCCGGAAUCAUUGGGCGUAAAGAGCGUGUAGGCGGCCAGAUAAGUCCGCUGUGAAAUCUCGAGGCUCAACUUCGAGCUGUCGGUGGAAACUGUCUGGCUAGAGUCCGGAAGAGGAGAAUGGAAUUCCUGGUGUAGCGGUGAAAUGCGCAGAUAUCGGGAGGAACACCAAUUGCGAAGGCAGCUCGCUGGGACGUGACUGACGCUGAGACGCGAAAGCGUGGGGAGCAAACAGG
rnacentral:rRNA from 1 species